UCUGCAGGUUCACAUCAGCCCCAU
rnacentral:miRNA from 1 species